rnacentral:misc_RNA from 1 species
GAUGAAGAACGCAGCGAAAUGCGAUAAGUAAUGCGAAUUGCAGAAUUCAGUGAAUCAUCGAAUCUUUGAACGCACAUUGCGCCCGCCAGUAUUCUGGCGGGCAUGCCUGUUCGAGCGUCAUUUCAACCCUCAAGCCCUCGGGUUUGGUGUUGGGGAUCGGCGAGCCUUUCUGGCAAGCCGGCCCCGAAAUCUAGUGGCGGUCUCGCUGCAGCCUCCAUUGCGUAGUAGUAAAACCCUCGCAACUGGAACGCGGCGCGGCCAAGCCGUUAAACCCCCAACUUCUGAAUGUUGACCUCGGAUCAGGUAGGAAUACCCGCUGAACUUAAGCAUAUCAAUAAGCGGAGGA